rnacentral:tRNA from 1 species
GCGGAAGUGGUGAAAUUGGUAGACACGCCAUCUUGAGGGGGUGGUGCCUUAUGGGUGUAGGGGUUCAAAUCCCCUCUUCCGCACAA